GUUUUUAUUUAUUUAUUUAGCCUAGAAUAGUCGUUACACUGACUCUCCUUUACUCUGUACAAAUAUUGAAAUGGUCUUUUAGUAACACAGCUGUGUAUGAAUUGUACUUAGGAGCAGGCAGGGGUGAGAAGGAAAGCGGGAAAUGCUGUGCUUUGGAGGUGUGGGAAAAAAUAUCUUCAACAAAACUGAAGAGACUCUCCUGAGAAGAAUGGAAACUGAUAAAUAAAUGAUCGUGUCAUACCAGGAGGAUAUCAAAGAAGAUAUACCAUCUACAGUGGACAGUGCAGUGAUCAUGACUGGCAGCAACGUGUGUCCUGCAGGAUUGUCCGGAGCCUACCUUUAAUUAUUGGAAGUAAGGCAGGAAGACCAGGAAAUACCCCCUGCACAAGUCUUCAGUCUAUCAAAUGGUGAAGUAAAGAGCAACAGAAGCAAAAACAAAAAGAAGCCUAACGUGAAUUGAACACUGAAAAGGAGAAUUAGUUACUCUGGUUUGAGGACAUUGGUCUCAGACUCUCUCCUUUCUCUCUUUUCCCACUAUCCCUCUCCUUCUUCUUUCCCCUCUGACAUUCUCUCAGCUAUCCUGCUUCUCUCCUCUCUUUCUCUCUUUUCCCACUAUCCCUCUCCUUCUUCUUUCCCCUCUGACAUUCUCUCAGCUAUCCUGCUUCUCUCCUCUCUUUCUCUCCCCCCUAUCUCUCUCCUUCUUCCUCAAUCUCCUCUUCACACACACACCCCCCUCUACUACGUCUCACUUCUCCUCAUAUCUCCCUCUCCCCCGUCCUCUCCCUCACUCUUUCUUUCACUCCUUCCUCUCUCCAUUUCUCCUCUCCUACCCAUCUCUCCACUCACUUUUCCUACCCCUCUCACAUCUUCCUCUCUCCUUUCACUCUCCCUCCUCUCCUACCACUCUCACUCUCUCCUACCCCUCUCACUCUCCUCACUCCGAUCUUUCUCUCCUACCACUCACUCACCCCUCCUACUCCUCGCUUACAUCCCCCCUUCUCACACCCCUCACACUCUCUCCUCGCUUACACCCCCCCCCUUUCCUACCCCUCUUCUCACUCCGAUCUUUCUCUCCUACCACUCACCCCUCUCUUCAAUCUGAUCUUCUCUACUACCACUCACUCUCCUCUACCCCUCUCCUCCUCUCACUACCCCCCCUCUCCUACCGCCAAUCUUUCGCUCUUACCUCUCACUCACCCCCUCUCUCGCCCCCCCUUCUUCCCCCCUCUCCUCACUCUUUCCUUUUUCUACCUUUCUCCCGUAUCACAUCUUACUCACUCCCCCUUGCUCCGUCCGCACCCUCCUCUCCUACCUCUUCUCCAAACGCAGUGGUCUGCUCCUUUGCAUUGGUUAGGAAAAGAUUAAACAGAUACAGAAAAGCCUGGUAUCAAACAGAGCCUCGGGGAGCAGAGACAUUUCACUCACUCUGAGCAUUACUGACAUUUACGACAAAUACGCAAAAUAGGAAGGAGGGAACAGCAAGUGAGGGAGGGAUGAGAGAAGAAGAAACAGAUGGAGAUACAGCAAGUAAACCGCCCGAAAAACCUGAGCGAGGCCCAGAGGACCACAGCUGCCAAAAUAAACUUCCCGCUGAAAGCAGGUUCCUCAGAAGAACUUUAUUGAGUUUUACAGAGUAGAGGACCUGCAGCCAUUCAGACAGACAGACACAGAAGAUCUACUGGCAUGUGUGAGGAGUUGAGCGUGACUAAAGAUGAUGUCUAGAUGAAGGACAGCACCGAGCUCACAUGGAGUGAUUUAGGGAGAAACUGUAAAAUGGCCGUUUUAGAUCCUGCAGUGUAUUUGCAUUGUAGCCCAAAAUAUUAAAAACAAUUCAUUUUUUUCUGUCCUGUGUUGUAGUAGGUCCUGGAAUACCCUCUCAGCCAUUGACGCACACAUCCAGGCACCCCAAGCCUGAGGAACUCGCAGCAAACCUGCUGCGUCAUUUUACCACCCAAAGAGAGCAUUGUAGAUUCUUAAUUUACUAUAUAUACUCUGAACAAUAAACCUGUAAUUUUCCUAACA